CCUACGGGUGGCAGCAGUGGGGGAUAUUGCACAAUGGGGGAAACCCUGAUGCAGCGAUGCCGCGUGAAUGAAGACGGCCUUCGGGUCGUAAAGUUCUGUCGCAGGGGACGAAAAUGACGGUACCCUGCAAGAAAGCUCCGGCUAACUACGUGCCAGCAGCCGCGGUAAUACGUAGGGAGCAAGCGUUGUCCGGACUUACUGGGUGAAAGGGGGCGGUGGCGGGGGGAUAAUUUGAAGGUUAAAUCUAUGGGCUAAACCCAUAGCUGCGUUCUAAACUGUUCUUCUUGAGUGAAGUAGAGGGAGGCGGAAUUCCUAGUGUAGCGGUGAAAUGCGUAGAUAUUAGGAGGAACACCAGUGGCGAAGGCGGCCUGCUGGGCUUUUACUGACGCUGAGGCUCGAAAGCGUGGGUAGCAAACAGGAUUAGAUACCCGUGUAGUC
rnacentral:rRNA from 1 species